rnacentral:rRNA from 1 species
UGUGCGGGUUUGGCUAUGCAUAGCGUCCUAUCGAGGCCUCUUUUUCGCUUCUGCUGUCGCGCCCGCUCGGGCUUCUAUAGCCAUGCGAGCGUGCGUUGAGAGUGUGACUGAAACGGCAAAGCUAAGUAAGUGAGCUCACUCAGCUGAGGAAAUAGCAGAAGGAGAGGAGAGGAGGUGCUCGAAGGAAAAGUUGGCGGUGGAAGGAGAGCGCCGGUUAAGAAGGUGAACAUGCCAACAUGGGGACGGCAGAGGAGGUGAGGUGGCGACGGGGGGGCGUCUACGGCGGGUUCCACAGGCGGCAGCGGCGGCCGCUCCGGGUGUGCGAGCGGGAGUGGUCAUUGCCCCUCGACAUGAGUACCCCCGCCCCGUGCAAGCCGGCGGAACCGUGGCCAGCGCUCCGCCUGCACGUGCACGGGUGGCGACAGCACGGGCGGCAGCGACGACGAGGACGACGCCCCUCCGUCGCCGGGUCCAAGUGGCGGCAGCGGCGGCCGCGCAUGGUGUCGGAGCGCGAGCUGCUACUUCCGAGUGAGACCAGUACCCCGAUGUUAUAGAUACCAGUCGAACCGAUACCCCUUCUCUUAAGGGAAAGAGGUACAAACCAGCUGCCAAAAGUUCUAAACCCAAGGGGACUUUGUGACGUCCUACUUCUUGUCUUGUGAGAACGUCCCUGAGGAAACUUCAACAGAAGGCACUUUCGACCCCCGUACUACAGUAAGCGUUAUCUGUCAGAACCCCGGGACACCUACACCCCCUUAACGGGGGUCGUCUGACUACUACCCCUCAAAACAUAUCGUCGAUGGAGUCGGGGUGACGGACACACCCUAAAGGUACCAGUGUGACACCAAUUCCAACGGACGCCAUUACUCGUACAACAUCGACGACAGUCACGACCUCUCUGUAUAUGUCCUCCACUGGAACAGACAAUAAGGACCCCAUUGUUGUUGGUACCCGUCAACCCAGAUCCACUGUUCCUUUCAUCCAGAGCGGGGCACGAAUAGAGUCUUAAACCACUUCCGAGAAGUACCCUCCACAUACUUUAACGUACGCCUCGAACCGUGUGACGACACGAGUGGUUAUUCUUCAGGAAACUAGUCCUAGAACUUAGAGCCACGACCUGUAAACCGUAACCACUGUUACCCGUCGAACCGGUACCUUGUUGACGGUGGUGGACGAGGGGCGUCGGACAACUGCCGAACGGGUGACCAAGGAAGGAGUAGAGAGAACUAACACCUAACAAGGUGUGCCGUCACCAGAGGAGGCUGCCUCUCCACACCACGACCCCUUACCUCUCUCCGGAACCUAACACGGGUCUACGAUCGAAAAGUCCUUACCUGCGUCCCCUACGAGACAUGGGGUAUUCCCAAGUCAGAGGACUCUGCUUACCCAAGUUCAAAGACCCCGGUCACGUCCAACGGACACCUCGACGGGUGUGACAAGAACAACGGCCACUGCCCAUGUCCUACACCCGUACCCCGGCUCCGGCGUCGCCGCACGAACCCUCUCUGGUCUGAUGACUGUCAAUGUGAGGUACGCAACACUACACCGGAGGAGAACUACUCUUGAAGGUUCUCUAAGUACCCCUGGUUCGCGUCCGCAGCUGUAGUUCUCGCUUACUAGCGUGAUCGUGGCUCGACCUCGACUUCAAUAGACGACGGAGUCUCCUCGAUGUCAAGGAAUCCAGUUUUGACUGUGAGUACCUCUCUAUACGGUUGUAUGAGGUGUAAAGUUAUAAGGCGUUCGGUUACCUGCUUGCCUGCGAAGGAGCGAGUGAAGUUCUCAGACGUCAGAAACUAUAGUCCUUCCUUAAACUCUUGUAGAACCUAAGCAGUCUAUGGCUACUUGAGCGAGCGAACCUCUACAAAAUGCCAUCGUACGAAAGACCACACUUCCUGUUCGAAGAGUUCUCUUUUCAAGUCCACUACCAGGUUCUUACGUAACAAAGUGAGAGACGUCCCUCCGUUUGGGGCGCACCAGUCACUCAACCUUCUGUCAACAAUAUUUGACGUAAAAGUGACAUGUCUUAGCUUGAAUAUAAUAUGUCAUACACAAUUUUAGCGUUAUUCGAGAGACACGUUUGGACAACAAAGUGGAUAAAACAGUUGAAAGAUGGCGUUGCAUCUGUUUAAUAAACCAUAUAGUGGAUAGUGACUACCAGUGAACCGACUGGUAAAAUACCCGUGCUAGACACGAUAGCAUAUUAAC